CCUGUUUCUAGGAUUUUGGGGUCCCUAGGCAACGGGAUUGUUGGGGGCCCUAGGGCAUUUUUUGGGCUUUUACUAAAAUGUGUGUGUGUGUGUGUGUGUGUGUGUGUGUGUGUGUGUGUGUGUCUGUGUCUGUGUCUGUGUCUGUGUGUAUGUUUUUUCACGCUGCCCAGUGGUGUUUUUCAGAAUCACUAACCAUUAAACCAGGGGUAGGGAACCUAUGUCUCGAGGGCCCUUGAGGCUGUUUUAUCCGGCCCCUGAUAUCAUUAUAAUGUUUUGCAACUUCACAUUAAAUAGGCCUAUGACAUAUUUUGCAGGCCUAAGGAAUCUUAGAAAUUACAUUUCCAAUGCAAUUAAGUUAUAUUCAGGGGACCUAGAAAAGGUGGGGACUGUUUUAAAGGUGUCUACCUUUAAAUAUGUCUAUAUGUCUAUAUAGGCCUAAAGGUGUCUAUAUAGGCCUAAAUUUUAUGGGGAAAUCCUGAUUUGUGUUCAUAGUACGGCCCCCGGAGGAUUUUAUGACCAUGGUAGGAAUUUGAAGUGGCCCCUCGAAUUAAAAAGGUUCCCCACCCCUGCAUUAAACCUUUCUACUAGCCAGAGCUUUGCUGUCAGUACAUUUUAUUAUGAUACUAUAAGCUCAGAAAUUAAGUUGAUCAAACAAUUUGAUCUGUGCUAUAAACAUUUAAAUGAACCUACAGAAUAGGCAAUCAAAAUAGAAUCAUCUGAAUGAUCUUUCUUGGACAUACAUUUUGAAGUGACCCUUCGAAUUAAAAAAGGUUCCUCAACUGCUUUUGAGGAAAAACAUCAAUGUGCUUGGCCACUCUGGUUUUUAAAUGGUAUUCUGAACUAAAGCAAGGAUUGUUCAAGUUAGUUGAAAAUAGACCGUCUCUGGUUAAAUUAGUUCUACACCAAGCCUUUAGGUGGCAGUAAAACUAAUUGGCACAAUGCGAAUUCCACACACAAGUCACAAAGAAGCCAUCUACCGCGGUCAACAACACUUCCUGAUUGAACAGAAUCACGCGCUGUCUGUGUGGUUUCACUGUUACAAGUUUCUUGGCGAUAUGGGGGGAAAGUUCCUCACAUACCAACGGAAAAUGGGCUUCACAUACAUGCUGCUGUCUCAUAAUAUGGCGAAGACGAUUCACCUGAAGGCCUAACUCGCCAUAGAAGACUGAAAGAAUUGUCCUGCAGGAUGCUGUGUCCUGCAAUCCUGUGUGCUGUGCUACAGACGCGUGUGGAGGUCAACCCAAAAUGGGCACAGUCUCACCACAGAAGAGUGAAAGAGGAUCCUGGCAGGGAGACGGUAGUGUCCUGCAGAAUGGUGAUGGGCCAAUCUUACAAGAGACCACAGAAAACUGAUAUAGUGAACUAUAGAAACAGAGUGCCUGCUGCAGUAUGGCGAGGACAC